GUCAGCAGCCGCGGUAACACCGGCGGCCCGAGUGGUGAUCGUGAUUAUUGGGUCUAAAGGGUCCGUAGCCGGUUGGUCAGUCCUCCGGGAAAUCUGAUAGCUCAACUAUUAGGCUUUCGGGGGAUACUGCCAGACUUGGAACCGGGAGAGGUAAGAGGUACUACAGGGGUAGGAGUGAAAUCUUGUAAUCCCUGUGGGACCACCUGUGGCGAAGGCGUCUUACCAGAACGGGUUCGACGGUGAGGGACGAAAGCUGGGGGCACGAACCGGAUUAGAUACCCGGGUAGUCCCAGCCGUAAACGAUGCUCGCUAGGUGUCAGGCAUGGCGCGACCGUGUCUGGUGCCGCAGGGAAGCCGUGAAGCGAGCCACCUGGGAAGUACGGCCGCAAGGCUGAAACUUAAAGGAAUUGGCGGGGGAGCACAACAACGGGCGGAGCCCUGCGGUUUAAUUGGACUCAACGCCGGACAACUCACCGGGGGCGACAGCAAUAUGUAGGCCAAGCUGAAGACUUUGCCUGAAUCGCUGAGAAGUGGUGCAUGG
rnacentral:rRNA from 1 species